AAGUCGUAACAAGGUUUCCGUAGGUGAACCUGCGGAAGGAUCAUUAUUGAAUAAACUUGGUUGGGCUGUUGCUGGCUUCUUUGGAGCAUGUGCACGCUUAACACCAAUUUUAACCCACCUGUGCACUUUAUGUAGGCUUUGGAUCAAGUUAAAUUGCAAGUUUUCAAUAGGAAACUUGGUUUGCUUCUGAGAACUGCUGUAAAAUUCAGCUUUCUCUGGUUGAUCUGGGUCUAUGUCUUUUUAAAUACACACUUGUAUGAAUGUUUGGAAUGUCUGUAAUAUAGGACAUUGAUCCUGUAAAACUUUAUAUACAACUUUCAACAACGGAUCUCUUGGCUCUC
rnacentral:misc_RNA from 1 species